rnacentral:rRNA from 1 species
UGCAAGUCGAACGCUUUUUCUUUCACCGGAGCUUGCUCCACCGAAAGAAAAAGAGUGGCGAACGGGUGAGUAACACGUGGGUAACCUGCCCAUCAGAAGGGGAUAACACUUGGAAACAGGUGCUAAUACCGUAUAACACUAUUUUCCGCAUGGAAGAAAGUUGAAAGGCGCUUUUGCGUCACUGAUGGAUGGACCCGCGGUGCAUUAGCUAGUUGGUGAGGUAACGGCUCACCAAGGCCACGAUGCAUAGCCGACCUGAGAGGGUGAUCGGCCACACUGGGACUGAGACACGGCCCAGACUCCUACGGGAGGCAGCAGUAGGGAAUCUUCGGCAAUGGACGAAAGUCUGACCGAGCAACGCCGCGUGAGUGAAGAAGGUUUUCGGAUCGUAAAACUCUGUUGUUAGAGAAGAACAAGGAUGAGAGUAAAAUGUUCAUCCCUUGACGGUAUCUAACCAGAAAGCCACGGCUAACUACGUGCCAGCAGCCGCGGUAAUACGUAGGUGGCAAGCGUUGUCCGGAUUUAUUGGGCGUAAAGCGAGCGCAGGCGGUUUCUUAAGUCUGAUGUGAAAGCCCCCGGCUCAACCGGGGAGGGUCAUUGGAAACUGGGAGACUUGAGUGCAGAAGAGGAGAGUGGAAUUCCAUGUGUAGCGGUGAAAUGCGUAGAUAUAUGGAGGAACACCAGUGGCGAAGGCGGCUCUCUGGUCUGUAACUGACGCUGAGGCUCGAAAGCGUGGGGAGCGAACAGGAUUAGAUACCCUGGUAGUCCACGCCGUAAACGAUGAGUGCUAAGUGUUGGAGGGUUUCCGCCCUUCAGUGCUGCAGCAAACGCAUUAAGCACUCCGCCUGGGGAGUACGACCGCAAGGUUGAAACUCAAAGGAAUUGACGGGGGCCCGCACAAGCGGUGGAGCAUGUGGUUUAAUUCGAAGCAACGCGAAGAACCUUACCAGGUCUUGACAUCCUUUGACCACUCUAGAGAUAGAGCUUCCCCUUCGGGGGCAAAGUGACAGGUGGGUGCAUGGUUGUCGUCAGCUCGUGUCGUGAGAUGUUGGGUUAAGUCCCGCAACGAGCGCAACCCUU